AGGAGCACAUAUCCUGUGAUCCGCGGAUUGCCGAAUGGGGGUAACCCAGCCACUGAGAAGUGGUUAUUGCAUGCUGAAUACAUAGGCAUGCAAAGCAAGACCCAGGGAACUGAACCAUCUAAGUACCUGGAGGAAAAGAAAUCAAUCGAGAUUCCCUAAGUAGCGGCGAGCGAACGGGGAAGAGCCCAAACUCAAGCCGGUGUCAAGGUGCACGCCGUUGCCGGCUGGGGGUUGCAGGAAUCGUCUGGAGGGACGUGCAGGACCUCGCGAAGUGAGAAAUCUUCAUCAUAGCGGAACGGCAUGGGAAGGCCGGUCGAAGAGGGUGAGAGCCCCGUACGCGACAUGACGAAGACUUCGUGAGACUGAUUCCUAAGUACGGCGAGGCCAGAGAAACCUUGUCGGAAUCCGGGGUCUACCACGAUCCAAGGCUAAACACGAUGCGGCUACCGAUAGCGAAUAGUACCGUGAGGGAAAGGCGAAAAGAACCCCCGGUGAGGGGAGUGAAAUAGAACCUGAAACCAUAAGCCCACAAC
rnacentral:rRNA from 1 species